AAGGAUCAUUAGUGAAUUUAGAGCGUAACUUCGGUUAGCUCAACCUUCAUUUUCCAACUCUGUGCACUAUUGGCGGACUGGGAGCAAGUAAUUGCUAUUCAGUCUGCGGCUCACUAUUAAACAUUAGUUAAAGUAUGUAUAUAAAAACAAAACAAAAAAAACUUUCAACAACGGAUCUCUUGGCUCUCGCAUCGAUGAAGAACGCAGCGAAAUGUGAUAAGUAAUGUGAAUUGCAGAAUUCAGUGAAUCAUCGAAUCUUUGAACGCACCUUGCGCUCUCUGGUAUUCCGGAGAGCAUGUCUGUUUGAGUGUCAUGAACUCUUCAACCUACCGAUUUCUAGUAAAUCGGAUUAGUGUUUGGAUUUUGAACGCUUGCUGGCCUUUAUUGGCGAAGCUCGUUCGUAAAUGAUUAGCAUCUCAUAUUCGAAAAUCGGAUUGACUCAGUGUAAUAGACUAUUCGCUGAGGACGCUCUUUCGGGAGUGGCCGAGUUUUGUAAAGUAGAAGCUUCUAAUUCUAUUAGUCAACUUUAGAUUAGACCUCAGAUCAGGCAGGAUUACCCGCUGAACUUAAGCAUAUCAAUAAGCGGAGGAAAAGAAACUAACAAGGAUUCCCCUAGUAACGGCGAGUGAAGCGGGAAGAGCUCAAAUUUGUAAUCUGGCACUUUCAGUGUCCGAGUUGUAAUCUCGAGAAGUGUUUUCCGCGCCGGACUGCAUACAAGUCUGUUGGAAUACAGCGUCAUAGUGGUGAGAACCCCGUAACUGAUGCAGAUGCCCGGUGCUUUGUGAUACACUUUCGAAGAGUCGAGUUGUUUGGGAAUGCAGCUCAAAUUGGGUGGUAAAUUCCAUCUAAAGCUAAAUAUUGGCGAGAGACCGAUAGCGAACAAGUACCGUGAGGGAAAGAUGAAAAGCACUUUGGAAAGAGAGUUAACAGUACGUGAAAUUGUUGGAAGGGAAACGAUUGAAGUCAGACUUGUUAUCUGGAGUUCAGCCUUUCGGUGUACUCUCCAGUUUACAGGCCAGCAUCAGUUUUCGGGGCGGGAAAAUCGUAAUUUGAAGGUAGCAGCCUAGCUGUGUUAUAGCUUUUUACUGGAUUCCGCUUUGGGGACUGAGGAACGCAGUGUGCUUUUAGCAAUACCCUCGGGUAUUUCACACUUAGGAUGCUGGUGGAAUGGCUUUAAACGACC
rnacentral:rRNA from 1 species